rnacentral:rRNA from 1 species
UACGUAGGGGGCAAGCGUUGUCCGGAUUUAUUGGGCGUAAAGAGCGUGUAGGCGGCUUGGUAGGUCCGCUGUGAAAACUCGAGGCUCAACCUCGAGAUGUCGGCGGAAACCACUUGGCUAGAGUCCGGAAGAGGAGAGUGGAAUUCCUGGUGUAGCGGUGAAAUGCGCAGAUAUCAGGAAGAACACCAAUGGCGAAAGCAGCUCUCUGGGACGGUACUGACGCUGAGACGCGAAAGCGUGGGGAGCGAACAGG